rnacentral:lncRNA from 1 species
GAGUAUGGUAAUUCGAGUUGCUUCGUUGUCAAGUGGUGAUUUCAUAUCUUGUCUAAGCAUUGUUCUCAUAUUUUACGAGAAUGCUAAUUAUUUUGCUCAAUCAAGUUGUCUUAUCAAUUCAUUUCAAACCUGAGUUGUCAUGUCAGUUCUCUUCAACCGGCGUGCUUCUCUUCUUGAUAAUUCAAUCCUUUCUAAUAUUUGCAAGAUCUAUCCU